GACGAACGCUGGCGGCGUGCCUAAUACAUGCAAGUAGAACGCUGAAGGGAGAGCUUGCUCUUCUGGAUGAGUUGCGAACGGGUGAGUAACGCGUAGGUAACCUGCCUGGUAGCGGGGGAUAACUAUUGGAAACGAUAGCUAAUACCGCAUAACAUUGACUAUUGCAUGAUAGUCAAUUAAAAGGUGCAAAUGCACCACUACCAGAUGGACCUGCGUUGUAUUAGCUAGUUGGUGGGGUAACGGCUCACCAAGGCUACGAUACAUAGCCGACCUGAGAGGGUGAUCGGCCACACUGGGACUGAGACACGGCCCAGACUCCUACGGGAGGCAGCAGUAGGGAAUCUUCGGCAAUGGACGGAAGUCUGACCGAGCAACGCCGCGUGAGUGAAGAAGGUUUUCGGAUCGUAAAGCUCUGUUGUAAGAGAAGAACGAGUGUGAGAGUGGAAAGUUCACACUGUGACG
rnacentral:rRNA from 1 species